rnacentral:rRNA from 1 species
GACCGAACCGACUUACGUUGAAAAGUGAGCGGAUGAACUGAGGGUAGCGGAGAAAUUCCAAUCGAACCUGGAGAUAGCUGGUUCUCUCCGAAAUAGCUUUAGGGCUAGCCUCAAGUGAUGAUUAUUGGAGGUAGAGCACUGUUUGGACGAGGGGCCCCUCUCGGGUUACCGAAUUCAGACAAACUCCGAAUGCCAAUUAAUUUAACUUGGGAGUCAGAACAUGGGUGAUAAGGUCCGUGUUCGAAAGGGAAACAGCCCAGACCACCAGCUAAGGUCCCAAAAUAUAUGUUAAGUGGAAAAGGAUGUGGCGUUGCCCAGACAACUAGGAUGUUGGCUUAGAAGCAGCCAUCAUUUAAAGAGUGCGUAAUAGCUCACUAGUCGAGUGACACUGCGCCGAAAAUGUACCGGGGCUAAACAUAUUACCGAAGCUGUGGAUUGUCCUUUGGACAAUGGUAGGAGAGCGUUCUAAGGGCGUUGAAGCAUGAUCGUAAGGACAUGUGGAGCGCUUAGAAGUGAGAAUGCCGGUGUGAGUAGCGAAAGACGGGUGAGAAUCCCGUCCACCGAUUGACUAAGGUUUCCAGAGGAAGGCUCGUCCGCUCUGGGUUAGUCGGGUCCUAAGCUGAGGCCGACAGGCGUAGGCGAUGGAUAACAGGUUGAUAUUCCUGUACCACCUAUAAUCGUUUUAAUCGAUGGGGGGACGCAGUAGGAUAGGCGAAGCGUGCGAUUGGAUUGCACGUCUAAGCAGUAAGGCUGAGUAUUAGGCAAAUCCGGUACUCGUUAAGGCUGAGCUGUGAUGGGGAGAAGACAUUGUGUCUUCGAGUCGUUGAUUUCACACUGCCGAGAAAAGCCUCUAGAUAGAAAAUAGGUGCCCGUACCGCAAACCGACACAGGUAGUCAAGAUGAGAAUUCUAAGGUGAGCGAGCGAACUCUCGUUAAGGAACUCGGCAAAAUGACCCCGUAACUUCGGGAGAAGGGGUGCUCUUUAGGGUUAACGCCCAGAAGAGCCGCAGUGAAUAGGCCCAAGCGACUGUUUAUCAAAAACACAGGUCUCUGCUAAACCGUAAGGUGAUGUAUAGGGGCUGACGCCUGCCCGGUGCUGGAAGGUUAAGAGGAGUGGUUAGCUUCUGCGAAGCUACGAAUCGAAGCCCCAGUAAACGGCGGCCGUAACUAUAACGGUCCUAAGGUAGCGAAAUUCCUUGUCGGGUAAGUUCCGACCCGCACGAAAGGCGUAACGAUUUGGGCACUGUCUCAACGAGAGACUCGGUGAAAUCAUAGUACCUGUGAAGAUGCAGGUUACCCGCGACAGGACGGAAAGACCCCGUGGAGCUUUACUGUAGCCUGAUAUUGAAAUUCGGCACAGCUUGUACAGGAUAGGUAGGAGCCUUUGAAACGUGAGCGCUAGCUUACGUGGAGGCGCUGGUGGGAUACUACCCUAGCUGUGUUGGCUUUCUAACCCGCACCACUUAUCGUGGUGGGAGACAGUGUCAGGCGGGCAGUUUGACUGGGGCGGUCGCCUCCUAAAAGGUAACGGAGGCGCUCAAAGGUUCCCUCAGAAUGGUUGGAAAUCAUUCAUAGAGUGUAAAGGCAUAAGGGAGCUUGACUGCGAGACCUACAAGUCGAGCAGGGUCGAAAGACGGACUUAGUGAUCCGGUGGUUCCGCAUGGAAGGGCCAUCGCUCAACGGAUAAAAGCUACCCCGGGGAUAACAGGCUUAUCUCCCCCAAGAGUUCACAUCGACGGGGAGGUUUGGCACCUCGAUGUCGGCUCAUCGCAUCCUGGGGCUGUAGUCGGUCCCAAGGGUUGGGCUGUUCGCCCAUUAAAGCGGUACGCGAGCUGGGUUCAGAACGUCGUGAGACAGUUCGGUCCCUAUCCGUCGUGGGCGUAGGAAAUUUGAGAGGAGCUGUCCUUAGUACGAGAGGACCGGGAUGGACAUACCUCUGGUGUACCAGUUGUCGUGCCAACGGCAUAGCUGGGUAGCUAUGUGUGGACGGGAUAAGUGCUGAAAGCAUCUAAGCAUGAAGCCCCCCUCAAGAUGAGAUUUCCCAACUUCGGUUAUAAGAUCCCUCAAAGAUGAUGAGGUUAAUAGGUUC